GUGCUCACUUUGGCAGCACACAUACUAAAAUGGAAUGAUACAGAGAAGAUCAGCAUGGCCCCUGCGCAAGGAUGGCACGUAAAUUCGUGGAGCAUUCCAUAUUUUU
rnacentral:snRNA from 1 species